UUUUAUGUCAAUUUUAUUCAAUAUUCUCAUGAGAAGCAUUUUGUUUCUACAGAUUUCUCGAUUGUUUCUACAAACACUCUUCAACUUUCACAACCAAGGAGGUGAUUCACAUUAUUCAUUAUUAGUUUUGGACAGAGUUACAAUGGACUGGCCAUUGAAAGUUUUAGUUGUGCAUGGCACUUUAAUAGUUCCAGUCCCUGCAUGCUGGAAGUAGAUCAGGCCAUCAAAUCAAGUGGUUCUAUGAGGUUCGUCUUUCUCCCAAACAUGAUACAUGUUGUAGGGAACUGGACCAAUGCACAAGGUGGGCUUCACCAUGACGAUCACCUGGAAAUAAAAUCAAGCCAGUCCGCUCUUUGAGUAGGCCCCACAACCAAAAUCAACGGACGACACUACAACAAAAGGUAGCAUUGCCAAUGCAUUUUUGUCGGUGGCCAACAUUUACCACUGACACUAUAAGAAUCGGGUUUUGAGCAAGGAACUUCUUUUUACCUUUAUGGUAAAAUGAGUUUCUUUUGUAUCUUUAUUGGUGUUUUUAUUAGUAAGGUUUUAUUUUAUUUUAUUAAUUUUUUGGUUGAUUUAGGUAAAGGCUUGGAUUACCAAAGCUUCAAAGAGUAUAUCAUCAUUUUGGAAGGUCCGUGAAAAGAACUUAGGUUACAAUGCAGGUGAUUCUGAUUCGGAUGAGUCAAAAGGCGAUUUGAAAUAAAGAUCAAUAAGAUAUGUUUUAUUUAAACGGAAGAGUGUAGGUGAGUUAAAUUUCUUUCGGAUCUAUCAUGGUGUUGAAAUUGCUUGACAAAUCAUGAUUACAAAUUUUCAAAUUUUAUAUGUUUUAGUUUAUGCAAACUCAUGGUACAAGGAAGCCAUCCCUCGAGU